CCUGAUGACCAUAGCAAGGUGGUCCCACUCCUUCCCAUCCCGAACAGGACAGUGAAACGCCUUUGCGCCGAUGAUAGUGCGGAUUCCCGUGUGAAAGUAGGACAUUGUCAGGC
rnacentral:rRNA from 1 species